rnacentral:rRNA from 1 species
UAUUGGUCAAUGGCCGCAGGGCUGAACCAGCCAAGUCGCGUGAGGGAUGACGGUCCUAUGGANUGUAAACCUCUUUUGUCAGGGANNAANNNGNGCCACGUGUGUCGUUUUGCGACUACCUGAAGAAAAANNNUNANCUAACUCCGUGCCAGCAGCCGCGGUAAUACGGAGGAUGCGAGCGUUAUCCGGAUUUAUUGGGUUUAAAGGGUGCGCAGGCGGAAUGUCAAGUCAGCGGUAAAAUUUCGGGGCUCAACCCCGUCGUGCCGUUGAAACUGGCGUUCUUGAGUGAGCGAGAAGUAUGCGGAAUGCGUGGUGUAGCGGUGAAAUGCAUAGAUAUCACGCAGAACUCCGAUUGCGAAGGCAGCAUACCGGCGCUCAACUGACGCUCAUGCACGAAAGCGUGGGUAUCGAACAGG